UGCCGAGCAGAAGCUGAUGGACGACCU
rnacentral:piRNA from 1 species